rnacentral:rRNA from 1 species
UACGGGGGGAGCAAGCGUUGUUCGGAUUUACUGGGCGUAAAGGGCGCGUAGGCGGCCACCGCAAGUCGGUUGUGAAAUCUCUGGGCUUAACCCAGAAAGGUCAACCGAUACUGCGGGGCUAGGGUGCAGAAGGGGCAACUGGAAUUCUCGGUGUAGCGGUGAAAUGCGUAGAUAUCGAGAGGAACACCUGCGGCGAAGGCGGGUUGCUGGGCUGACACUGACGCUCAUGCACGAAAGCGUGGGGAGCAAACAGG